ACCUAGUCACUCAGGGCUAAUCGUUGGCACAUAUUGAUGUAUCACAUAUUUAUUUUUAAGAUUAAUUUUUUUGUCCUAUCAUAGGGUUAACCGUGGUAGUAUGAAUCAAAGCUAAUUCCUUUCUAGGCCAAGCUAGUGUUCUAGGCCAAGCCAGUGGGGCUGAUCACUGAUACACGAUGAUAGAUUAUGCAUUCUGUAUUUAGGAGCUAG
rnacentral:lncRNA from 1 species